UUAAAAAUUUAGGGGUUUUCAAGUGAAGUCCCGUACACUUCUCUCUCUCUCUCCUUCUUCUCCCAAAUAGUGACUUCCCUCUAAUGGAGUAACCUUCCUCUAAUGGAUUCUCUUGAAUAAGUAAGAAAGGGUAAAUAAAUAUGCAGAUCGAUCACAAAUAAAUGGAGGAAGAGAAAUAACCAGUGAGGGAUUUAGGGAAUCUAUGAUAUAGGUUCUAUAGUUGAUCUUUAUGCGGUUGUGCUUAAAAGGUGAAUCCUUAUUUUUGUUCUUGUGUUUGUGAACUUUAAGCAAGGAUGUUGUUGAACAUCAUUUAGAAGUACGUGCUAAUAAUUUUAUCGGCUUCUAUUUCUUUUAAAUCUUAAUUUCUGCUACUGUUUUGUUGCUUGUCUCCUAUCAAAGGAGGAAAUGGAUCGACAAUCAUCACAGACCUUGGGACCCUGUUGUUUAAUGGGUACAAAGGUGUUGAUCUUUUCCUCGAAGUUUAGAGAAAGAACAUAACAAUGGUCAUUAAUUACUGUUGUCUGAGCAUCUUAAGGUUUUCAGUGAGAUUUCCAAUUUUGAUAAAAUUAAACCAAAAUGUUAACAAAGCCAUCAUAUUUGCAUUUGUAUCUUUAUAAUUUCCCUAAAAUUAAUUCAUAACAUUGAAAAAUUGAGAUGUUGUGUUGCUCUUUUCUAAGGUUGAACUCAAUCGACAUUCAUCACAGACCUUAGGACCCUGAUGUAUAAUGGGUGGAAAUGUGUCGAUUAUUUCUUCGAGAUUGAGUAAGAACACAGUAGUAAAUUAACCGGGAUUUCCAUGAUUGUUUCAGGCAUCUCUGGUCUUCAAUUAAGGGAUGACGAAAAAAAAAAAUUCAUAAAAUUAAAUUUAGAUUGAGCAUUUGAAGAGUUAUUAUCCUAUUAAGAUUGGGAAGUUUGAAGAAGUAUUAGAAUAGUUCUAGUAAUUGAAUCAUAUAGUCGGGGAGGUAAAUUGGGAAUUAAUCUGUUCCAUUUUAUGGGAGUUUAAACACUUUUUGGUUUGUUUUAAAGUGGGAGUUUUCAUCGCUGGAUGUACUCCACUGUGCUAUUACGCAGGCUCAGUUUGGGGUCCGGCAAAGUUCUCUGUUAGUGUUUGUGUUCAAAAGAGAAGAAAAAGUUAGGGCCUGUUUGGUAGUGUUUUCCAAAACAGUUUUCACUUUUCAAAAACAGGGAAAACAGAAAACAAUGAGAAAACGUGUUUGGUUACAGUUUUUCUAAAAACGUUUUUUACUCGUUUUUUGUUUUCGAAAACACCUAAAAUGAAAACAACAUUUCAUCGUUUUCAUCGUUUUCAUUUCUUCCUUCUUCUCCUUCAGAAACGAGCAGAGAAUUUCCCAGAGGAGAUGGGUUGAUUGAUUUGGUAUCAAGUUCUAGGGUUUGCAACAAUUUUUAGAUUCGAUUCAUAUUGUUGCAAAACAAACAAGGGAAAACUCGUCUUGCAAAGUACUACGUUCCUCUUGAAGAAUCUCAGAAGCACAAGGUUGAAUACGAGUAUGUAUUAUGUAGAAAAAAAGAUGGCUUCUCUAUCAAGUGAUGAUAACGUAGAUGAUAUCCGCACAUGGGCACAGUAUAUUGUGGAUUACUUUGUUCAAUUGCUUCAUGAUGAAGCCAAAAAUGGGUUACAAACCACUACAUUGGAGAAGAAGAAAUGGGGAGAAAUAGAUAAUGCUCUCUUUGCUAAGUUUGGUAAGAAAUACAGCAUUCCUAAGUUGAAAGCUAAAUUCAAUCGACUGCGUAUAGAGCAUAGGGAAUUUGCAAGGUUAGUGAGUGAUACUGGUAUGGGUUGGGAUCCAGUUGCAAACACGGUCACUGCAAGUGAUGAUGCUUGGAAGCGUUACUUGAAGAAAUAUCCUGGUGCAAAACCUUCCGUAAAAAGGGGUUAGACAAUUAUUAUAUGCUUGGGGAGAUAUUUAAUAGCACAACAGCAUCUGGAAGCAUGUCUAAUGCAUCAACACGGUCUCCUCCUGACUCAGACACCGAAAGAGACUUGGAAACAGAAUUCCUUGGCAAAGGGGUACAUGUAGAACCCGCUAGCUCUGGAGACACGAGUCACCCUUCAUCACACACAAAAUCAAACAUACAGAGACGUGCUUUAGAACUUCCUAUUGAUCUUCCUCAGCGAAAGGCGACUAAAUCAUCAAGGUUUGAUGAUGCACUUGUAGCAUGGACUGAAAAUCUUAAAGUUAAAGCUGAAGUAACAAAAGCGAAGGCUGAACGUAAGAAGGAUAAGGAAGUAACAUCUCCUCUUUGUACCAGCACCGAGAUAUCAUCUAUUGAAGAUUGUAUGGAUAUAUUGGACAACAUGGAAGGAGUGGAAGAUGAUGUAUAUCUCAAAGCCAUUGACAAGUUCAGAAACCCCGACUAUAGGAGAAUUUUUAAGAAAAUGAAAGAAUCAAGGAGAAUUAUGUGGCUUAAGAGUUUGUAAUAUGUUUUUUUUUCUUAGAAACUGAACUCGGUUAAGGGUUGUUGAGUGUUGUGAUUUAGAACUUGAAGUUACACUGUGACACAAUAUUUAUGUUAAUGUGAGCUUGUUUUUGUGUGA